rnacentral:rRNA from 1 species
UACGGGAGGCAGCAGUAGGGAAUCUUCCACAAUGGACGCAAGUCUGAUGGAGCAACGCCGCGUGAGUGAAGAAGGUUUUCGGAUCGUAAAGCUCUGUUGUUGGUGAAGAAGGAUAGAGGUAGUAACUGGCCUUUAUUUGACGGCAAUCAACCAGAAAGUCACGGCUAACUACGUGCCAGCAGCCGCGGUAAU